GGGCCCUUAGCUCAGCUGGUCAGAGCAGUGGACUCAUAAUCCAUUGGUCGUAGGUUCGAAUCCUACAGGGCCCACCC
rnacentral:tRNA from 1 species